GUGCUAGUUUCAGCAGCCCAUAUACUAAAAUUGAAAUGAUACAGAGAAGAUUAGCCUGGCUCCUGCGCAAGAAUGACACACAGAUUCGUGAAACGUUCCAUUUUUUU